UGCCGAAUAGCUCAGUUGGUAGAGCGGCCUCUUGAUAAGGGGUAGGUCGCAGGUUCAAGUCCUGCUUCGGCAACCA
rnacentral:tRNA from 1 species